AUGGCGAAGGGCAAGAAAGUUGAUAGGCUCAGCGCACUGCCUGAUGACGUUCUGGUCAACAUUCUUGACCGACUCAAUGUCCGUGAGGCUGCAAGAACCAGCAUCCUCUCGAGACGGUGGACUCAGCUCUGCGCCAAGCUGUCUCGGCUUAUAAUAAGCACUCUGGAUUUCCUGCCAAAGGGUGUGUUGUGCACCGACAUCUCUGAUGAUGAAUUGUUCCGCAUCAAUGCAGCUGUGGUUCAAGCGACAGAUAGCAUAUUGACACGCAGAAAUCCUGGAGAGCACACGAUCCGCCUUCUGUCCACAAGGUUCUACUUGAGAGAUGAUGUCCCCAUAUCCAUUGGGCGUGCUGUUGGUCAUGCCAUGGCGGCACACUUGGUUGACAAUGCCAAAUUCAGUGUUAUGACAGGGAAGUAUGAGAUCAGUGACAUGGCUGAGGAUGAUCUGAUCACCUCUGCGAGAAAUUUCAUGUUGUUCUUUGAUGCCUGUCCAAGUGCAUUUGGUGGUCUCACUACCCUUGACCUAGAGAAUUUGAGAUUUGGGGAAUCAGACAUAUCCAACGUCCUCAUCACUUGCAAGCGCUUGAAGCAUCUCCGUUUGUACAAUUGUGACUCUGGUGAUUGCAGCACGCUGCAAGUUGAGCACGCUCAUCUCAGUGAGCUUAGUAUCGUCCACUGUAUGCUUGAACGAGUUGAGCUGAAGUGGCUCCCUCAACUCACAACGAUGGUCUUUGAAGGUUGGCUACAAUUCCAAGAUCCACUGUUCAUUGGGCAUGUCCCAUUGCUGGAGGUUGUAAGCCUCACAAAUCUUGCCCUUAGUUACCACAAGAUGGUGUUGUUAAGUGAGUUUCUUAGCGGUACCUCUAUACGAGAUCUGAAGUUGGCAUUUAAUUCUGAAAAGAUUUGGGUGCAGCCAGAAUUUCCGACGCCAUGUCUGUCAUCUGUUUUCCGCCAACUAAGGUUUGUUAAUCUGCUUCAUCUUCCUGAAGGGUAUGAUCUCACCUGGACAAUGUAUAUUCUUGAAGCUGCCCCCUUACUGAAGGAGCUAUACAUGACGGUAUGGGAUCAUGCCUGUAAUAUGGAAAUGGACGAGGAGAAGAGGAAAGAAGAAUCGUAUAGUGAGAACCGGGGUGUAGAGUGGGACUUGGUGGCAGCAGAUUUCCAACACCACAGUUUGGCCACACUCGUCAUUUUUGGCUUUGAAUCUGAAGAUUGCUUCGUGAAUUAUGUGAGACGUGUUCUGGUGGCGGCGGUCAAUCUAGAGGACGUGUUCCUGUAUAGUAGGUUGGAGUGUGGCAGCUGCAAGGAGAAGAAGCUUGGCAGGUACCCCUGGACUAAAAGGCAGAGGAUCUCCAUGAAGAAGAGACUCACCAUUGGGAUUGAGUCGUUUGCGAUAUUUCACUAUGGUGAGAUGAGGCCUGGUCAUGUAGCAAAAAUGGAGUACCCAGAGUGCUCACUGCUCGAGGAAAAAGAGGCAAAAAGGUGUUGA
rnacentral:rRNA from 1 species